rnacentral:rRNA from 1 species
UUUUUAAGGAAUAGGGAAAUCCGGAGGCUCAACCUCACAGGGUAAUAAUCAAACUGGCAAACUUGAGAAAUGUAAGAGGUAACGGGAAUUUCUUGUGUAGGGAGUGAAAUCCGUAGAUAUAAGAAAGGAACACCCAAUGGCGUAGGCAGGUUACUGGACCAUUUCUGACAUUGAGGGCACGAAAGGCUGGGGAGCGACCCGGAUCAGAUACCCCGGGUAGUCCAAGCCGCAAAACGAUGGAUACUAGCUGUUGGAGGUAUCGACCCCUUCAGUAGCGAAGCUAACGCGUUAAGUAUCCCGCCUGUGGAGUACGGUCGCAAGACUAAAACAUAAAGGAAUUACCGGGGACCCGCACAAGCAGUGGACCGUGUUCUUUAAUUCGAUGAUAAACGAAGAACCUUACCAGGGUUUGACAUCCUUGGAAUUUUGCCGAAAGGCGAGAGUGCUUUAUUGAGCCAGGUGACAGGUGUUGCAUGGCUGUCGUCAGCUCGUGUCGUGAGAUGCUUGGUUAAGUCCAUUAACGAGCGCAACCCUUGUGAAUAGUUGUAUUUUUCUAUUCAAACUGCCCCGGUAACGGGGAGGAAGGAGGGGAUGAUGUCAGGUCAGUACUACCCUUACACCCUGGGCUAGAAACACGAUACAAUGGUUAGUACAAUGCGCAGCGAAGCCGCGAGGUGGAGCAAAUCGCAUCAAAGCUAAUCUCAGUUCGGAUAAGAGGCUGAAACUCGCCUCUUUGAAAUCGGAAUCGCUAGUAAUCGCAGAUCAGCAAGCUGCGGUGAAUACGUUCCCGGGUCUUGUACACACCGCCCGUCAAACCAUGAAAGUCACCAACACCCGAAGUCCGAUUCGUCGGCCUAAGGUGGGGGGGAUGAUUGGGGUUAAGUCGUAACAAGGUA